rfam:Gossypium raimondii Chr09_contig_1517, whole genome shotgun sequence.
AAACCAUGCAUAGGACAUUUUCUAAGUAUUUCCUUAAAUCUUUCCCAGGCUUUGUAAAGCGUUUCAUCCUUUGAUUGCCGAAAAGAUGUGACGUCAUUUCUCAGCUU